GCGGGGGGAGGGGCGGCGGGAUUGACAGUCGGUAAUUGGGUAACUGGAGGCCGCUUCUCCGGCCCGGCAGCCCCGCCACCGCGACGCCGGGCCCCUGACGUCACCCGAUUCGCCAGGAAAUGAACUUUUUAAUAAUCUGAGGAGGGAGGAAAGCCCUCGGUCCCCUCGGCUCGGGGGGCACCAGGCCAGGCCGGGCUCCGCCAGCAUGCCCCCGUCACCCCCUCCAAGGCCAGCUCUGGCAGCGCCACGGGAGCCUUCCCCUGCCUCGGCGUCCCGCCGGCCCUUUCUGUCCGAGGCCCUGGCGCAGGUAAAGGAGAGGGGGGGACAGUGGUGCAGAGGCCUGGGCCGAGGGAACCCGAGCGUCUCUGGCCCUUGGGAACCCGUCUGCCCUGGCCGCUGGCCGCGCCUCCCGCUCCGGGGCGCGCGGGGCCCUGGCUUCUCGGAACUCCGCUCCGCGGGAGAGGAGGCCGGCGCUCGCCGGGUAAGACGCACCGGAGCCGGGAGCGAGAGCUCGAGGCCCUGAGCGCCGAGCCUCGGCUGCCGGCCCAGGCAGGUGAGUGGCCUCGGCGCCUCCCGGCUCGCGCGCCCGAAACGGGCGCGGCCUGGCCCGGACCCGCGGUCUCUCCGUACGUCUGUUUCUGCUCCCUGCCUGUAGCUUACGACUCAUCAACGCGUAAAACGCGAUCGCAGCGAAACCUCCAGCCUGUCUUGCCGCCUCAGAGCCCAGCAGGGGCUUCUCAAAGACAACGCGGCACCGGGGACAAUCCCCGGUGUCCGGCAAGGCCGCCCCAUGGAGUUCAAAGUCGGGGAUGGAGCGCGGGAGGCCCCGGACUCGCAGGCCGGCCGCCAGGCGGUGAACGCCGGAGCCGAGCGGAAGCUUACCGCCGACCGCGAUCCCAGCGUCGGUUCGCGGGGAGACGGUCGUUCCGAGCUUUCAGGAGAGCAGGAAGGAAACCUUCUGGCUGCAACAGUCUGGGAGUCUCAGUCCGCCCGGCCAGGAAGCUCCCCUCCCCCGCCCUCGCCAGGGUCCGAGGCCAGCACUUCUGAGGCCGGAAGGGAAGAGGUGAAUGCACAUCGGAGCAGCUGUGGAAGCCGGCGGCCCAGGUGCCCCAUCUUACGUGCUGAUGGCAACCUCCACGCCCCCGAACUGGAAACUGG
rnacentral:lncRNA from 1 species